rnacentral:lncRNA from 10 species
UGCUGGGAUUACAGGCAUGAGCCACCGCGCCCGUCCAGUCUUUAAAUAUUUUGUAAAGACAGGGUCUCACUAUGUUGCCUAGACUGGUCUUGGACCCCUGGGUUCAAGAGAUCCGCCCGCCUCAGCCUCCCAAAGUGCUGGGAUUACAGGCAUGAGCCACUGCGCCGGUGGAGAUUUCAUUUCUUGGAGAUAAAAGCCUCGGAGUGCCAUGGUCAGAUCCGUGGUAAGAGUAUGUUCAACUUUUUUAAAAGUGCCAAAUGUUUUCCAAAAGUAGUCGAACCACUUCUCAUUCCUAUCAGCGGUGGAUGAGGGUCCCACUGGAGUGUGGGAUUUGAACUCAGGCCCAGCCCACUCCAGAACCUGUGUCUGUCCCUGCCAAGCUUCAGGGAUCCUCUCUGAAGGCCUUGGAGAAGGAACCAGCAGACAGCCGGCGGGGGCGGUGCUGGGAUGCGGGCUCCGGCCUCUUUGCAUCAGCCGAGGGUCCCUCCCUUGUAGCUGGGUCUGGCUUCCUCCUUGAACAGAGUGCUGCCUUCCCAGGGGCUCCUGGAGGGCAGGGGUGGGCACUCCGUGGGCACCAGGCCCACGAGGGGCUCCAGACCCUCCGCGGACCCUUGUCCCUGGCUGGGUUGAAGAUGCCCGGAGUCUCCCAGGCCAUGCCAAAGGCUUGUGGGGGUGGGGAAGGGUGCGAGGGUUUCACCAGGCACGCGCCAGGGAAAGGGCUUGUCCCUUGAGCUCCGACAGACAAGGAGGAGGAAGGAAGCCACCAGAACCCAGGCAGCGGCCGGGGGGAGAGCCAGAGAGUUUAGCAGCCAAAGCGGGGAGGGGCGACCCUCUCCUUCCAGACCCCAGGGAGGUGGGCAGAAAGCGGGAGGGGCGCGAGAAGGGAGCAGGGAUUCUUCAUUAAAACUGAACCCCCGGAGCCGGGCCCGCGGCGGCCGAGCAGCCGGGCUGCAGGCGGCCUCCCUCUCGCGGCG